AGUUUCGGUUUUGAUUUGUCGAUUUCGGGCGUUUGUAUUUUUUUAAAAUCCAUCAAUCGUACUAUUAUUUUUGAUUUUUGUGAAUUUUGCGCGUAUUUAAUUAAUUUUUUAUUCAUUUUUUCACCUUCAUUAUACGUGUUUCUUUUGUUUUUAAAAAAUAUGUUGUCGCGGAAAACGUAAUAUUUUUAUUGUUUCGAGUAUUUAGUGUUUUUAUCGCGAUUUGUUUAUUCGUUUAUUUUUUGUUUUCGUUAGUGCUACCUGCCUAUGCUUGUGUUGUUUGCUGCAGUUCGCUGCUUGGUCAGUUGAAAUCCAAGAUCAAUUUUGAUUUCAAAGAAGACAUCGUCGAUGAAAGUGUAAUUAAUGAAACAUGCUCGUCGCAUUCAUUUACUUCGUUUCGUGACAUGUGGUAUAUUUUUAAAUGUGAAAAAAAAUAUGUUCAUUCGUUCCGACGCGUUAUUCUUUCUGAAAUAAACAAACGUAAUCGUAUUCGCGCAGUGUACAUUUUGGAUAUCUACUUAUUGAAUUACGUAAAAACUGUUUCAAAAUUGAUCGAUACCAAAGUAUGAGUUGCCCCGAAGUUAUGUAUCAAGCAUAUUAUCCGUACUUGUACCAAAGGGCGAGCACGUCAGCAUCUUCGCCAGCCAAUGUCCAUAGAGCAGCGCAUUUUUCACCUUUUUCUCAUCAAUACGAUAGGUUUAAUGUACAAAGAUCGUUAGAUCAACCUUCAACCUCCAGUCUAAAUAGUGAAACUUACCAUGUACCACAUCACAGUCACACACCUUCUCAUCACAGUAGUGCUGGAUCUGUGAGCUCUAACGGCGGAGUUGGUAGUCCAGGAUCGCCUACGACAGUUCCCAUUAGAUAUAAAGAAGAAGAUAAUUCAAAUUCAAAAGAUGGUGAGAGAAGGGAAACUGCAGUCGACGAUGAAGAGGAAGAUGACGCUGGGUCUACUAGUAGUAAUAGUAGAGCCCAAUAUGUUUCUGCUAAUUGUGUCGUAUUUACCCAUUAUUCAGGCGAUGUUGCAGCUGUUGUAGACGAGCAUUUUACCAGAGCGUUGAAUUAUGCCACUGAAUUAAAAAAUAAUGUUGCUAAUACCAAAGAAUAUUCGCCAAUGACGGCGAGAAACUUUCCUCCGUCUUUUUGGAAUAGUAAUUAUCAAGCUGUUUCCGUAUCGACGGCCCAUCCUAGUGAUUUUUAUAGCGGCGAGUCCGCGUACCAUGCAGCCGUAGCGGCAGCUGCUAGUAAUUCAGCAGGGGCUGAUCCCUGGCAUUCUCAUUACCAACAAUACGCCGCUCAUCACCAUCACAGAGCUGUGCAUGAAUAUCACCAUCAUAAUAUGGCCGCGCAAUAUAGCAGUUUACUAAUACCACCUACUUCUAGACUGCCGGCUCAUAUGGCUGCGGCUACCCAUCAAUAUCACCAUAGUAAAACGGGCGUUGAACACUGGUCAUCAAGUCAUACUGCAGCCACACAUCAUAGACUACAUCACGAUCAAAGUACAAGUCAUCAUGCAUUAGAUGCUACCUCGUCACCUUACCCUACCUAUUCGUCGAUGUCUGGGCUGGACUGGCCUACUGAAAUGCCGGGAAAGUACCAGUGGGCUGGUCCCUAGAAAGGCUGCUUGGAAUCAGGCAAAGUUGUACCCUGCCGUAUAUAAGCAAAAGAAGCGGCUAUUUUACUCGAGAAGUCUAGUUUUAUACGCGUAACUUGAACCGUACCAUUAUUUCCCGGUUUAGAAGCCCAAGUUCAAGAAUCAUCCAAAGAUUUAUAUUGGUUUUGAAUUAAAUUUAGUAUCUUUUUUUUGUAAUUAUUUAUUGUAUUGUUGUAUGUGUUAUAGUUUCUGUUCGCUUUAUAAUUUCACAUUUUUAAUUCCAAUUAUAAGUAUACUUUGAAUCUGAACGAAUCAAUGAGUACGAGUACCUAUACAAUACCUAAGUUUUGAAAAACGAAGUAACAUUUUUAUGCAUAGGUACUUAUAGGUAGAUGGGUGGGUAAAUAUCAAAUAAGUACCUAUCAAAAUUCUGGAAAAAUUCUGAAAUAUGCAUUGAUUAGAUAGGUACCUACUUUUGAAAAAUUAAAACUGAAUCUCCGAUCAUCUUACCUCAUAAAACGCUAAGUAUCCUUUAAAAUGAAUCGAGAUAUUGGUAUCAAUGUAUCUAAGUACAAAUAAAAAGGGCGAGUAAAUCUUGAAAUAGGCUAUAGCGUAAGCUAAAAAUCCCUUCUUACAAUUCUCUUUUUUCAUUAUAAAAAUUCAGACAUUUUGAACUCUACCUCACUAUGGUUCAGCUCUCUGAGAAAAAAAAAUAAAACUCAUAAAGGGUUGAAUUCUUUUUAAAUUAAACUCUUUUUCAACUUUUUUCUGCUCUAGUUUGAGACCAACUUCAAAGGGAAGUUAUCGGUGUGAUUAAAUAGUGGAAAUUAUUUAGGUACUGUAAAUCUUUGUUUUCCAACUCGCAGAUAAAAAUGCAUAAAAUAAGGCCAACGCCAACUUUAUUAAAGUACUGUAUAACGCCUAAUUGCAAACUGUAUUGUACUUCAUACCUAUUUCUACAAAUUGAAAAAUGGCUGUCAUAUGAAUGUUGAGUAAGUACUUUCUUAAUAUGUACCUAUUUUAAUCGACCUUAGUUUUUAUCAUACUUUGAAGUUUGAAACUAAAAUCGCGCAUCAUACUUAAAAUUAUCUGUUAGAAUAUUUUCUCGGAAUUCAUCCUUCAAAUGAAACACAAAAUGUUCUCCAUAGGCAAAUUCUCUACGAGAAAAACAAAAGGAAAAAAGAGAAUUCCAAAAUAACCUUAGGUAGAUAAGAUAAUAACGCAUCUCUGAUUAUAAUAAUUCAAAGUAUUCUGGAAAGUGAAAGGGGAAAGAAAUUUAAUUUAUUCACUUGCAGCGUUGAAUUUAAAUUCUACAAAAUACAAUUAAAAACGAAUUUUCAGAGAUUAUAACUGGAGAUUUCUGAACUAAAAAUAGGUAGCAAGUACAUGGAGAUGGAAAAUUAUGAAUCUAAAUAAGUGAAACUGUUUUUAGAUGUUUUACCUUCGAAGUUAUUUUCAAAUUAAAUUUAAAUUCCCUCGUAACAUACCCUCGAGAUCUCUAUACAUAAAUACCUACCUUUUUACCUAUCAUCUUACCUUUGUUGGUAUUUUUUUGUUUACCUAUACUCAUCUGUUGGUAGAUAACGAGUAAAAUAUGAAAAUGUCCAAAAAAUUUCGAAUGUCCCUGCACAUUUAAAAAUGAUUUUUAGUUUGAUUAAUUACUCUACUGUUUAAGUAGUAGACCAUCUAUACGUGUAUGGAUAUUGGAUAGGUACCUAUCUAACUUGCGAAUAUCAUGAUCUCAUAAUACAAAUGUAUCUGUCUACUUAUGUGUAAAACAAAUGUCCAAAGUCCCCAAAAAUAUCGAAUACUCCUAUACAUGAUAGGUAUACCUACCUUUUUUUCGCUUCAACUAAAAAAAAAAAAUAGUCAUUUCAUCAUUUAAUACCUAUGUACAGGGUGGACAGAAAUAUCGGGUACCCCUAAGAAAGUUUUUCAUUGAAAAUAUUGGUUGGCAACGUGAAAUAGAUGCAUAUGAUUGGUGAAAUGUUAUCUCUCCAGUCUAACAACCAAUCAUGUGCUACCAUUAUUAUCAUUCACUGUGACCAACCGAAGUAUUUAGCAGAAAACUUUUUUAGGGGUACCCGAUAUUUCUGUCCACCCUGUACCUAGACCUACCUACUUAAUAAUGGAAAAAUAAUCAAAUCAACUUUAUUUUUUGCAAUAGGCAGCCUUACGUACUUAUUCGAUAUGAUCCGACUUAUUUUUUAAAUGUGGAAAUUCUUUCUAUAGAGUUCUGGAGUAUUCGAUUUUAUUGGAGAUUUUUCAGAUAGGUAAGUACCUUACCUACUACCUAUAUCUACUAUUUCAUGAACAUAGGAGGUUAAUCAAUAAUCAAUUACAUGAAAAAACUAUAGGUAGAUUGUAUUCUCUUUGGAAAUUAAUAAAAUACUCAAGUAGAUAAUGAAGAAGCAUGAACAUUUGAAAUUUUUAAUGAUGGCUAUCAAGCGUCGAAUACCUACUUAGUACACUUAAUUCAAUUGAUUUUAAAGCGAAAAAUGUGUUAAUGGAAUUCGUGCAGUUCUUAUGUGCUUAUUUGUAAUGCAAAAUUAUGAGCGUUUUUAUUCUUAUUUAUUGUAAUAAAAUAUAUUUCUUGUUAUAA